CUCCGGUCCCCCCGCAACAAUAAGACAUGAACCCCGCCAGGCCCGGAAGGGAGCAACGGUAGUGUCCGACUUGUGUGCCGGGGUGUGGCUGGAGGUC
rnacentral:SRP_RNA from 1 species